rnacentral:rRNA from 1 species
UACGUAGGUGGCGAGUGUUGUCCGGAUUUACUGGGCGUAAAGGGCUCGUAGGCGGUUCGUCGCGUCCGGUGUGAAAGUCCAUCGCUUAACGGUGGAUCCGCGCCGGGUACGGGCGGGCUUGAGUGCGGUAGGGGAGACUGGAAUUCCCGGUGUAACGGUGGAAUGUGUAGAUAUCGGGAAGAACACCAAUGGCGAAGGCAGGUCUCUGGGCCGUUACUGACGCUGAGGAGCGAAAGCGUGGGGAGCGAACAGG